rnacentral:lncRNA from 1 species
AUUAAAAUAAAAUAAAUAAAUAAAUAAAUAAUUAUAUUUAUUAAUAAAAAAAAAUUUUUAAAAAGGUUUGGUGGGUGUUACAAUUCUCCCCCCUCAAAAGAAAUUUGAUCCCUCAAAUUUGUUUUUCACUUUCAAUCGAACAGUUGGGGACGCUGAACUCUAAAGUCUAAUUCUAGCUCCCAUGUAGCUUCCCUCGGUGUGUGGUUCAUCCAUAUGACAUUUACAA